rnacentral:misc_RNA from 1 species
CCUAAAGAACCUGCCUUUGUAGUGUCCACACAGAUUGUCUGAUGAAAAGUAAAUAGCAAGGCGUCUUGCGAUUGAGACUUCAGUGUCCCCUUCGUCUAGAGGCCCAGGACACCGCCCUUUCACGGCGGUAACAGGGGUUCGAAUCCCCUAGGGGACGCCACUUGCUGGUUUGUGAGUGAAAGUCGCCGACCUCAAUAUCUCAAAACAGGUUUUCGAACCUCGUUUGAGAUAUUUGCUCUUUAAAAAUCUGGAUCAAGCUGAAAAUUGAAACGACGCACUGUUUCCUUUCUCCGUAAUAAGAAAGGAAAAACGGUGUGUUCGAGUCUCUCAAAUUUUCACAACACGACCUGUUUUACGAAACAGCUUCGGGUUGUGA